rnacentral:rRNA from 1 species
AUGGAAGGCGACGAUGAGCUAGACGAGUACGCUAGGAAGGUCAGCGGCAUGGCGGCAAGGUACGCGAUGCUCGGGUCGACGCUUGACGACAGCGCCAUGGUGAAGAAGUUGCUCGACACCGUGCCGGACUGCUUGUACGCCGCGGUGGCUGGAAUCGAGCAAUUCUGCAACGUGGAGGAGAUGGCGUUCGAGGAGGCGUUCGGGCGGCUCAAGGCGUUCGAGGAGAGGACGCGGCGGCGCGCACGGGCCGGCGGCGAGUGCGCGGACGGGCAGCUGAUGAUGACGGCGACACAGUGGGUGGCUCGGGAGCGACGGGAAGGCGGACGUGGCUUCGGCGACCACGACAACGACGGCGUGGCGAGCACAUCGUCGGGCAACGGAGGGAAACACCAUGGACGCGGCUACAAAUGCGGGGAGCACGGGCACUUCCGGCGCGAGUGCCCGCAGCUGCAGAAACGACCGGCGGCGGAGCAGGCUCUCCUGGCUGACGGCAACAUCGACGACGAUGGACUCCUCUAG